CCAAGUCCUCAUGGAUAUUGGUUGGUUCGUUAACCACUGAACCACGACGGGAACUCCCCCUGCAGGACCAUUUUUUAGGGAGAGUUUCUAGGAUCAGCACCUGGGGAAGGGAGGGGCUGGAAGCCAAGGCGUCAGAGGAGGAACCCACAAAGGGAGCCACCGCCGGAGGCCCCGGCUGACCCCACGGAGGGCUCUGGAGCUGGGGUGACCCUUGGGAGUUGGGCUGGAGGGGUGAGCCUCCAGAGGCUGGCGUGGAUCAGCCCCCGGGCGUGGGCUGCUCCAGAAGCUGGCACGUCGGUGGGCAGGUUGGUUUCUUCAGCCCUCGGCAGGGGCUGACAGCUGAAGGCAGGCGGCAGGUAGCACUCCCGCAGCCAAGGGUGGAAGCCCUUCCUUCCGGAAGGGGGAGCGCGGCCGCCCACACCCUGCCCCCCGGGAGGCCUGCUGAACCCGGCGCCUCCAAAUCGCCACGGGGGCAUUCCUCAGGCUCCCCCCUCCCCGCCGAGGCCAGCCUGGCCCCCUUUCCUGCUGCCUCUCCUCCCACCCCUCUUUUCUUCCCUCGUCCCCCCGGGGGCUAUCCCAGAGGUUUUCCGAGUUUUAAAGGCUGUCCAAUCCGGCGGCCCAGGGCAAGUGUGCAAGGCGUCGGAACUGCCCUCCUCGAGGUAGAAGGUCAGGAAGCCCCUCCCUCUGGCCCCCGCUGUCUUGCUGUAAAACGCCGGGAAAUCUGUAAAGAGCGGGCGGGCUGAACCCAGAGCAUUUUUCCCCUCUCUAAUUGGGCGGUUCCAAACUUCACCACAGGGGGUACUAAAUUGUCCCGGGCUCUUUUAUUCGAGUCCACACGAGCAGGAAGCGCACCGUGGUUCUGCAGCUGCGAUAAGUUCCGUGUACGCACGCACGUGUGUAUCUGCUAGGUUUCAGCUACGUUAGGAGACGUUAGGAAACGGCCGUGGGCCUAAGUGGGGACAUGCAUUUGGGAACAGUCCGCAUUUUAUCACAAGUCCACGCUCCAGAGCCCAACGCGACCUGAGCUUCAAUCAGCACCAGGGACUUUGUUCAUUAGCAUAAAAGGUCUUAGACCUGAGUUCCCGCGGGCGGAAGCAGUUCCGAGAGGAGGGGGUUGGUCGGCAGUACCAGCGGCACCUCGGCCCUCACAGGCGCAGACCAGGAAAAGCUGGUGCGCUCCGUGGUUGGUUCCAUUAGAAAGGGCACCGUGGCGGGAGGUGGGGUGGUUGAUUCCCAACUGGAUCUGCGUGCAGCAAGCGGCUGUUUUGGUGGCUUUUGCACCCCUGGAGUCCCACCGGAAGGUUAGAGAAUCCCGCUGCAAGACUUUCCUGGCAUUUGCCUCGGGCAAACUUUCCUGCGAGGCUCUUCAAAGCACCGAGGGCUGGAACUUCAUUACGGGACCAGUUGUAGGGCUGCUUUGAGUAGCUUGCCCAGAACGUGGCCUAAAGACUUGCUUUCACAGGAACCUCGUGCCACGGUAUGGAGAGCACGCUGCUGCGCACGGACUCACCUCUAAUUACUAAAAGCCACAGAGUCACCAAAAAGAAUCUCAUGGGGGUUUUUUGUUUUUGUUGUUUUGCAAGACCAAACAGGCUCAGGGCAGUUUGCACCAGCCUAAAACCCCACCCCAGAUCCUCUAUAAAACCUUACUCAGCUGUGAAUUCCCGCCUUCCCACGCCAAUAACCACUGUGAGCCUCCAUGUUUUCUGGUGGGAAGAUAGGGGUCUGAUUCUUGUGUCCUCCAUCCUAAGAAGGUAUAUGGAUUAUAUGGAUUGUUUUCUUAAACCCUUCCGAAACAGGUUGGAUUCACAAACUGGAGCCUGUUGUCUUGGGGUUGGGGGAAGUUAAAAAAAAAACCUCAGCUCUCCGAAGUGUCCGCAGCAAGGAGGCCUCUGGUGCUGAUUUGGAGCCGCAGUGCAUGGGCACCUCGAACUGCACCGCUACGUGUCCCCACGUUUCCAGCUCAGAGGAAGCUUGGUUAGGGACAGUGUCCAUCCACAAAGAGAUCCUGCACACAGGCGGAUAAUCCACGCAAAACCCGGCCUGGCCCUGAGGGUGAAGUCACCGGGAAACGGAGGGUUCUCGGCCAGCAAUAAGGUGCCCACGGGUAUCAGGACGCUGGAGAAGGUCCCUCGCUGCUCCUCGCCACCGCGCUGUUGAAAUGACAUGGCUAUGGAGGAAUCCUUUCGUUCUGCAAGCGUAACCACAGGAAUCAGGAUGAGCGAAUUCCGCUCCCUGGAAACCCGGGGUGGCAUCUGCUUUGUCCGUAGAGCUCCUAAGCCAGAGUUCCAUAGCCUUUCAUGGCCUUCGUGUUGGGGAUCGAAAUAAAGCCCACGGAAUUCUCUGCUGGGAAAGGUGACGUCGCCAAAAUGCUGCUCAAUCCCAUUCCCUGUGGUGCCCGUGUGGAUGGGUAUUAAGCAUGCAUGUUGCACCUGGAGCCGUUCUGGCCACCAGCUUGACCCUUCUGUCUGUCAGUCCUGUCCAAGACCUCAGGAAGCUCUUGAUCUGAUGUGGUGCAGUCAACACUGGCCAGGGCAGGAGUUUCUGUUGUGGCUCAGUGGGCUAGGAACCUGACUAGUAUCCACAAGGAUGUGGGAUUGAUCCCU